AAAGAAACUAACAAGGAUUCCCCUAGUAACGGCGAGUGAAGCGGGAAGAGCUCAAAUUUGAAAUCUGGUAGCCUUCGGUUGCCCGAGUUGUAAUCUAGAGAAGUGUUUUCCGCGUUGGCCCAUGUACAAGUCCCUUGGAACAGGGCGUCAUAGAGGGUGAGAAUCCCGUCCUUGACAUGGACCCCCAAUGCUUUGUGAUACACUUUCAACGAGUCGAGUUGUUUGGGAAUGCAGCUCAAAAUGGGUGGUGAAUUCCAUCUAAAGCUAAAUAUUGGCGAGAGACCGAUAGCGAACAAGUACCGUGAGGGAAAGAUGAAAAGCACUUUGGAAAGAGAGUUAAACAGUACGUGAAAUUGUUGAAAGGGAAACGAUUGAAGUCAGUCAUGCUCUUUGGAUUAAGCCGUUCUGCGGUGUAUUUCAUUGAGCGGGGUCAACAUCAGUUUUGAUCGCUGGAAAAGGGCAGGAGGAAGGUAGCACUCUCGGGUGAACUUAUAGCCUCUUGUCGUAUACAGUGAUUGGGACUGAGGAACGCAGCAUGCCUUUUGGCCGGGAUUCGUCCACGUACAUGCUUAGGAUGUUGACAUAAUGGCUUUAAACGACCCGUCUUGAAACACG
rnacentral:rRNA from 1 species